rnacentral:rRNA from 1 species
UACGGGGGGGGCAAGCGUUGUUCGGAAUUACUGGGCGUAAAGAGUUCGUAGGCGGUUUGUCGCGUCGUCUGUGAAAACCCAUCGCUCAACGAUGGGCCGGCAGGCGAUACGGGCAGACUUGAGUACUGCAGGGGAGACUGGAAUUCCUGGUGUAGCGGUGAAAUGCGCAGAUAUCAGGAGGAACACCGGUGGCGAAGGCGGGUCUCUGGGCAGUAACUGACGCUGAGGAACGAAAGCAUGGGUAGCGAACAGG